ensembl:lncRNA
CUCUCGCUCUCACACACAUCACACAAAAAACAUCACACAAAGCCUCUUAAACCAACAGUUACACUCUUAGAAUGUUCCUGGAUUUGUAUAUUCUCACUUAUUUCUGCAUGAUAUCCACACUGCUCUAUUACGUGGUGUUGUGUCUGUGCUGUUUCAUAUCAUCAGUCUGUGUUCUUUUUCAGACCAGUCUCAGGAACAGAGGUACAACUCCAUUGCCGUGGCGGGGGCAGUGAUGGGGGCGGUCCUCGCCCUCUUCCUCAUUGCCGUCUUCACCAUCAUCAUCCUCACCGCACGGAAGACCUCGCCCCCAGCGUACACAGACAAAGUGAUUGAUCUACCUCCAACACACAAGCCACCUCCUCCAUACACAGAGAGACCCCCAGCCAUCCCUCUGGCUGUCCAUGCACCACAGGUGGCCUCCCUGUCACAGGCUCGCAGGGCUGAUCGACGGUUUGAGAUGGCAGAGAGAACACCCACCAGGCUCGCGCACCAGGAACCCCGAAGCCCCUCCCAUCAGCCACUGUCUUAUCAGGAAUGGGUGUGUCACCAGCAUGGGACGGACCGCAUCUUCAUCAACCACCGGGAAAACUAUGUGUGACAGACACAUCUUGAGCCCUUCUAUGGACCUGUCACUCACCCCGUCCCCACCCAACGCCAUGUAUGCUCACAGAGGACAUCCUUUACAAUGUGAAGAACACAGGCAAAGAAACAGCUCAUGAUUUGACCAAGCCUUCACACAUGUGUCUACUCCACAUUUAAACUCAUUUGAGAGCAGCAGUUAUCAGCUGUAAGAAACAAGACUAAUGAGGCCGAAGCAUAAACUGCUGAGUUUCUCGAAGGAACACAUCCAUACACCCCCUCCACUCCACUACCAUAAACCACCACACACCCUUUCUAUUCCCAACCACAUUAAUAAACAAAGCAUAACAGUAGGGGGAAUGGGAGGAAACCGACUUGGUACAGUACGACGCAAUAGCCAUUAAAAACAACGCACUAAUCUCUGUUGUGUACUAUAUAUAUAUAUAGGAGUGGAAUAAUAUGAAAACACCAUACUAAUAUUUAACAUGUAUAGGAAUGAAAUAAGCUACUAUGUCACUGUAGCGAUAUUGUAAUUAUGUGAUAAUCCUGUGUUCAGUUAUGCUUUUUGAAUUAAAUUUAAACCUAAUUAAAACAUCUUAUAUAUUUUUAUUUUUUUUAUUUUUUUAUUUUACCUUUAUUUAACCAGGUAGGCAAGUUGAGAACAAGUUCUCAUUUACAAUUGCGACCUGGCCAAGAUAAAGCAAAGCAGUUCGACAGAUACGACACAGAGUUACACAUGGAGUAAAACAAACAUACAGUCAAUAAUACAGUAUAAACAAGUCUAUAUACAAUGUGAGCAAAUGAGGUGAGAAGGGAGGUAANNNNNNNNNNNNNNNNNNNNUAAAGGCAAAAAAGGCCAUGGUGGCAAAGUAAAUACAAUAUAGCAAGUAAAACACUGGAAUGGUAGUUUUGCAAUGGAAGAAUGUGCAAAGUAGAAAUAAAAAUAAUGGGGUGCAAAGGAGCAAAAUAAAUAAAUAAAUAAAAAUUAAAUACAGUUGGGAAAGAGGUAGUUGUUUGGGCUAAAUUAUAGGUGGGCUAUGUACAGGUGCAGUAAUCUGUGAGCUGCUCUGACACAUAUAAUCCCACAGCACCCCCUAACACUAGUACUUGACUUGUUCCCCCCUAAUAGCACUGACUUUGCUGAUAGCUACUUUAUUGAGGAAAAAUGUACUGACUAUGACUGAAAUAUGUGGUAGCUAUCUUAAGAUGAAUGCACUAACUAUAAGUCACUUGAUAAGAGCAUCUGCUAAACUACUAAAAUAAAUGUAAUCAUUAUUUAUAUAAUUGUGGUAUUAAAUAUCAGACAUAUCUCAAAAUGGUUCUGGUAAACACGCAGCCAAUUUAGUAGGAUUCUAACUUUCUGGUAUAAGAACAAAGAUGGCAACAUUGUCUGAAGCAGGGUUUCCUGAACUCGGUCCUGGCACGCCCCCCGGGUGCACGUUUCGUCUUCUGCCCUAUCGCUACACAGGUGAUUUAGAUAAUGAACUUGUCAUCAAGCUCUGAUGAUUUGAAUCAGCUGUAUAGUGUAAGGGGAAAAUAACUAAAAGUACACCCAGGGCAGGCCCCAGUACCGAGUUUGGAAAAUCCUGGUCUGAAGGACCAGGCACCAGUGUUACAUCAGGAUCAAGUAUUUCAUUGAGUAGGCUAUAUCAGAUAGUAACAUAUAAUGUAAAUUCGCUGUAUACAAAUGUUCAGAACUAAAAUGUUCAGAAAAGAUAAAUGUGGUGUAGUUCUAGUGUUUUGAGAAGUCAACUGAAUCAUAUAAAAUAUUUACUUCCGUACAUGAAAUUUAAACAUGAAUCGUUCUUUCGUCAGUGAGAAAAUCAUAUUUUGUUUUUUUUCAUUGCAAGUUUGUAGUUUUUGACAUUUUCUUGUGCCAUGUUAAUAUUUGAAGGGGAUUUUUUUCCCACUAUAUAUAUGAUCCGUUUUUAAAAUUGUAAUUCUUCCAUUGUGACUAGUUAAAUAUAUGCA